rnacentral:rRNA from 1 species
UACAGAGGUCCCAAGCGUUGUUCGGAUUCACUGGGCGUAAAGGGUGCGUAGGCGGUCGGGUAAGUCUGAUGUGAAAUCUCACAGCUUAACUGUGAAACUGCAUUGGAUACUAUUCGGCUUGAGAGUUGGAGGGGGGACUGGAAUUCUUGGUGUAGCAGUGAAAUGCGUAGAUAUCAAGAGGAACACCAGUGGCGAAGGCGGCCCCCUGGGCAGUAACUGACACUGAGGCGCGACAGCGUGGGGAGCAAACAGG